rnacentral:rRNA from 1 species
AUCGCCUGCCUUCCAACAGAAGGGUUCCACACAACAUCGAGGAGCACCACACGCGAUGCUCCAACGAGGGUGAUACCUUCUCCACACGCCUUGGUCGAUGCAAGCAUCACCUUGGCCUCGCUCUCCACAUCAUUGAAGGCCACCAUCAAGGCUUUGCGGGUUUUAGGGGAGACAUUUCCACUCAUAUACAUGAUCUCUUUGCCUUUAGUCCAGUUGAACUCUUUUCUCAGCUGUUGCAUGAUCAAGUCCAGUGGUUCAAGGAACUGGCUAAACACAAGCACUCGCUCUUUUAAAGCUUGA